rnacentral:rRNA from 1 species
UCGAGAAUUUUCACAAUGGGGGAAACCCUGAUGGAGCGACGCCGCGUGGAGGAUGAAGGCCUUCGGGUUGUAAACUCCUGUCAUCCGGGAACUAGUACCGGAAGAGGAAGGGACGGCUAACUCUGUGCCAGCAGCCGCGGUAAUACAGAGGUCCCAAGCGUUGUUCGGAUUCAUUGGGCGUAAAGGGUGCGUAGGCGGCGCCGUAAGUCGGAUGUGAAAUCCCGGGGCUCAACCCGGAACUGCAUUCGAUACUGCGGUGCUUGAGGACUGGAGAGGAGACUGGAAUUCACAGUGUAGCAGUGAAAUGCGUAGAUAUUGUGAGGAAGGCCAGUGGCGAAGGCGGGUCUCUGGACAGUUCCUGACGCUGAGGCACGAAGGCCAGGGGAGCAAACGGGAUUA